CCUACGGGUGGCAGCAGUGAGGAAUAUUGGUCAAUGGUCGGGAGACUGAACCAGCCAAGCCGCGUGAGGGAGGAAGGUACAGAGUAUCGUAAACCUCUUUUGUCAGGGAACAAAGGCGGGGACGUGUCCCCGGAUGAGUGUACCUGAAGAAAAAGCAUCGGCUAACUCCGUGCCAGCAGCCGCGGUAAUACGGGGGAUGCGAGCGUUAUCCGGAUUUAUGGGGUUUAAAGGGUGCGCAGGCGGUCUGUUAAGUCAGCGGUCAAAGCCCGGGGCUCAACCCCGGCCCGCCGUUGAAACUGGCAGUCUCGAGUUGGAGAGAAGUAUGCGGAAGGCGCGGUGUAGCGGUUAAAUGCAUAGAUAUCGCGCAGAACUCCGAUUGCGAAGGCAGCAUGCCGGCUCCACACUGACGCUGAGGCACGAAAGCGUGGGUAUCGAACAGGAUUAGAUACCCUUGUAGUC
rnacentral:rRNA from 1 species